GAGUUUGAUCCUGGCUCAGGAUGAACGCUAGCUACAGGCUUAACACAUGCAAGUCGAGGGGCAGCAUGGUCUUAGCUUGCUAAGGCCGAUGGCGACCGGCGCACGGGUGAGUAACACGUAUCCAACCUGCCGUCUACUCUUGGACAGCCUUCUGAAAGGAAGAUUAAUACAAGAUGGCAUCAUGAGUCCGCAUGUUCACAUGAUUAAAGGUAUUCCGGUAGACGAUGGGGAUGCGUUCCAUUAGAUAGUAGGCGGGGUAACGGCCCACCUAGUCUUCGAUGGAUAGGGGUUCUGAGAGGAAGGUCCCCCACAUUGGAACUGAGACACGGUCCAAACUCCUACGGGAGGCAGCAGUGAGGAAUAUUGGUCAAUGGGCGAGAGCCUGAACCAGCCAAGUAGCGUGAAGGAUGACUGCCCUAUGGGUUGUAAACUUCUUUUAUAAAGGAAUAAAGUCGGGUAUGGAUACCCGUUUGCAUGUACUUUAUGAAUAA
rnacentral:rRNA from 1 species